CUAAAUGGCCUUUUAAAAUGUUACAACAGAAAAUGUGAAUUCAAUGAAUUGAAAAUUUACAAAAAUAUUAUGAUGCAUGGUUUAAUAAGACUUGGUCCAGGAAGAAGUGUUCAAGUAGAGACACUCAUCAUUUUGGUGUCAAUAUAAUGCCAAGUCAAGACCAGAGCUCUCAUGGUUAUGCCAUGACUCAUUCUGUAGGUGAUGCUUUUGUUGCUGGGAAUUGAACCCAGAGACUCCUGUGUGAUAAUUGUGUGCUCUACUAUUGAGUCCCACAACCAGCCUACAGCUCUGAUGAAUGAUGAAUUAUGUCCAGAGAUCCAUGUUCAAGACCUGGCUCUGUCAUGUACUGAAUUCAAUGAAUUUUCUCAUCAUUCCUAAGCAUAUGUCCUUUGAAAGUGUGGCCAGUGCUUGGACUUGAAGAGGAAAAAGCAAAGGUAUACUUAGAGGGACUGGGCUAGUUGCUAGAUAUAAAACUUCAUAAAUACAUCCAUUCAAUUAUUUAACUCCUAGUAUUUUCCUUCACAUUUCAAUGUGAUGAAAAUAAUUUGAUUCAUUUUUGUUAAGUGGAUUUAAUUUGGGGUGGAAAAUGUGCUUUAAGAAAUCAUCUGUAAUGACCACCACAUGAGACAAUCUUUUCUAUAGAAAUCAGUUGUAUGUUUCCUUUAAUAUUAUAAAUUAAAUGCAAGCAGAAAUGUAGGCAAUGGGUUACUAGUCUUACUUUGUGGUCAUGCAUAUAUUACUAAUUUGUUUUUGCUCUCUGUCUAGGCCACGUAAAAGAAAUUGCAUCUAGAGGGAGCCAAGUGUGCAUUGGGUAGGACUGGCUCAGAUGACAACUUACAAACAGUACUGUUUGUUAUCUACAAUGACUGGGAAGAGGUCUUCCCUGGAGAACUUUGAAAGGCACUUUGGCUUUUUCCUGUUCCUAUUACUCUCUGUGCACUUCAAACCGAAAGUGUGUGGAUGUGGUGGGAGGUGUUAGGAGGUGUGGGCUUUUCAGAUCUUGCUAUCCAGUGUAACUCUUCAGUUUAACCCCAAAGGGGAAGGGUGUAUCACAGAGAACUGUAAUCAUCAGAACGAAGUUAAUGACAAAGAGCAAUUAAGCAUUUCUAUGGUGGGUAGUAUUCUGUGUCUGUUAGCUAUUAUUAAACUUAUUGAGUUUUUGAAGGGAUUUAUUUCUUGUUGCCUCUCUUUGCCUUUGGCUCAAUAGGGCAAUGAAAUCGGAAUUGCAUGCCUGAGACAACAUGGGGUUUUGCCACAGAAUGAAAGAUGUUACCAAUUUAGCUUGCAGACCACUUCAAAGUCAAGAGGAAGAACAGAUGGGCCGGCAUUGGGAAAUUCUCCUACUUGCUUAAAUGAAGAUAACUCAUAAAAUAAUAAAGAUGGAAAAUUGAUUCA
rnacentral:lncRNA from 1 species